rnacentral:rRNA from 1 species
UACGUAGGGUGCAAGCGUUCAUCGGAAUUACUGGGCGUAAAGCGUGCGCAGGCGGUGCUGUAAGACAGAUGUGAAAUCCCCGGGCUCAACCUGGGAACUGCAUUUGUGACUGCAUCGCUGGAGUGCGGCAGAGGGGGAUGGAAUUCCGCGUGUAGCAGUGAAAUGCGUAGAUAUGCGGAGGAACACCGAUGGCGAAGGCAAUCCCCUGGGCCUGCACUGACGCUCAUGCACGAAAGCGUGGGGAGCAAACAGG